GCUUACGGCCAUACCACCCUGAGCACGCCCGAUCUCGGAAGCUAAGCAGGGUUGGGCUUGCUUAGUACUCGGAUGGUAGACUGCCUGGGAAUACCAGGUGCUGUAAGCU
rnacentral:rRNA from 1 species